rnacentral:lncRNA from 1 species
CGAUGGAGAAGAUGGUGACUUGGGGAGCUGCAGAUGGACUCAGAGAUUAAGACGAGUGAGUGGGGUCCGUGGUCCACGCAGUCAAACACAUGCAGAUUCUGCUUCAACCUCUCCUUGUUGUAGCUCUCCACAGCUAGAGUUGCCUUUUGUCUUGGCUUCUGAUGACGGUGUGCAUAUUGAAGAGGCGGCAAAUGUCGAGCAACAU